AUAAAUUCAACAUAGGUUCAGUCGUAUCUACAGGCCUCGGAUGACGGACCCCUGUCGGACGUCUGGUAGCUGUUUAAUUCAAAAUAUUUUCAGUCGUAUCUACAGGCCUCGGACGACCGACCCCUGUCGGACGUCCGACCCCUCGCGAACGCCCGGACUUCUGACAACUGUCGGACGUCCGGACCCUGUGUGACUUAAAGUGUCCCCAACGGCUCUUUUUCUCUCCCCACUAUAAAUACCCCCCCUCCCACUUCGUGAGAGGGCAGCCCAACACAACCUUAUCCAC
rnacentral:lncRNA from 1 species